AGCAUCGGCCGGGAAUCGAACCCAGGUCGCCCGCGUGGCAGGCGAGCAUUCUACCACUGAACCACCGAUGG
rnacentral:tRNA from 1 species